rnacentral:lncRNA from 1 species
AACAAGGAAAACACUUUAUGUUCCAAUAAAAUAUAAUCAUCUACUAAAAAAAUAUACUACAACAAUAGUAUAUGAGCUGCAAAAAAAAUGAUAUAAUCUUAAUUGGAUGAUAAAAAAAAUAUUAAGUUUAUUCUUAUAGGCAGCAAGCCUAUAAAUAAGUUCUGACAUCUCUUAAUUGGAUGUCAUGAUGAUACCUCCAAAAUUAGGAGAAAAGAGACGAUCUAAAUAAAUACUAUACUCUUUAUAACUUUGCCAUCAUAUUAUAAUACAAAAUUAUAAUUAUAAGGCUCAUGAAAUUGGGAGGAAAAUAUUUAUUCGCUUCCAUUACAAUAAAUAAACCAUCUUAAAAAGCUACGCCUUUAUGCCCACUUCCAGACCCAAUCACAUUUAUGACCAAUGCACUUACUAACAUAAAACUCAUUCCACUUUGGUGGACAAUCAUCAUCAAUAAAACAUUCAAACUCCUCUGUAAUACAAAAGGUAAUAAAAUAAAGUUACUAAAACAUGAUAAAAAAAAAACUAUUUACGAAACUAUAAGAAAAUAAUGAAAUUUGAGAACGUUAAAAACUACUUACCACCAACUCCUGUUCUAACGAGAAAUAAGAAAAGAAAUAUAAUCAGAACAUAAAUAAAUUUGAGAAUUUCAGCCAUAUUAUUUCCUACAAGCAAUUAAAUAUUUGUCAGUAUUUAUAAAGUUAUAAAAACCUUUUAUAAAAAUAUAAUUAUUAUUUAUUAUAUUUAUUGUAUAAUUAGUGUGUUACGUUUGUCCUUUAGAACACCUAGUAAUGAGGUCACAUAAUAUUAAAAAGAAAAACUUUAACCUUUCAUGAAGGUAAUGAGAAUAUUUUUUUUAACCUUUCAUUACUCAUAACUUUUCAUUAUUAUUUUUUUAAACAUUUCCAUGAUAGUAAAUUAUAAUUUUUCUUGUGGGACGAUAAUAAAAUUAUUUGUUUGAAUAAUGCAUCUAUAUAGAAUGUGAAUAUACAUUUUAAAUUUUUUGUUGUUGUAAAAAUAGUUGAUGAAAAUAAUAUGUAUUUAAGUUUAUAAUUACGAGAAUAUUAUUUAUACUAUACAACAUAACUUAGGAGUUCUUCCCAUGACAACUAUAAAGAAACAAUCAUAAGUUAGGAAUUCUUCUCACGCCAACUAUAUAGAGACAAUGACUCUUUGAGUAGCUCUACAAUGACUCUUCAAUAAUACUCAAAGACUAAACUGCUUAAGCUCUAUAAAAGUAACCUUAUCCUUAACAAUUGAAGUUGAUGAACUAAGGGAGAUUAAAGGAUAAAAAGGUAUAAAUAAUGUAAUGCCUCAUUGGUGAAACCUAAGUAACUUAUCAUGAUAAUCUCAAUAAAUAUGUGGAUAACUUAAAAAAAAAAAAAAAACAUACUAACACUUAAGGACUAGACAAACUGUGUUGGUCGGACCGACCGAUUUAAAAGAAUGGCCCAUUGGAUAAACUCUGCAUAUUACAUGGGUUAAAAAUAGAGAUUUUUUA